GGAGCGGGGCGGGGCCUGCGGGGGCGGGGCCCCGGGCCGGGCCAGGACUGAUGGAGCGAGCGAGAACGGACUGCGCGUGCGUGGCUGCCUGGCCGGCGCUGAGGGGCUGAGCGUACGCGGGCGGCGGGGUGGGCCGCUAUGCUGCAACUGAAGCCCAGUGAUCUGACAGUAUGGAAGUGCUUUCCUUCCGCUCAUCCGCGGCCCUGGGCUGCGGCAGGGGGGUUGGGUGUGUCAGGUGAAAAGUGCUCCCUCCCACCCUUCAGACAGGUCCCCAAACCCUGCGGCCUGCGCGGAAUUCCUGCAUUGUCAUUGCCGGCCCACCCACUGUUCAGGCUGAGAGCGGUCCCCCGCCCAAACCGGCGCUUCGCCGGCGCCAAGAUAGAAAUGGGUCGCCCGGCUGGUAAAGAGGCUGCCCUGCAACCCUGGGCUGGAGUAUUGCUGUGGUCCUGGAUUUCUGGACUUUAUUUGCGUUCUCAAGUGGCGAAGUGUUCCUCAACCUGGACCCACAUCAGAAGCAGGUUCUCCGAGCCCCUAAGCAGCGGCGUGACAAAGUAAUUGUUUACCCUGGAAAUAGACUGUUAUUUUUUAAAAAUUAUUGUCAGGGCUUGCUUUAAUGUUCUUAAUGUUUUUGUAUGAGAUCCUCCAUGUGAGAUUUGAAAAGAUCCACUAUGCGGGUCAUCUAACCGGUCACUAGACAUUGAUUCCACACUUACUACGUCGAGCACAGUUGACACUGGGAAUACAUGGAUGGACUUAUACUAGCCCUAAAAUAACUCCUUUUCUAUUAGAACUUUACUAGGUAAAGGUAUUUGAAUGUCUGAACUCCAUGUUUAGAAGGAGUCAUUGGUUUUAAGGCUCUGUCCUAGUACACCUGUAAGAGCAUUUGCUUAAAAUUGCCUGGCCUUUGUAUGUUAUCUCUGUCACUUCAUAUUUGAAAAUCACUUGCUAGAAUAUGGCCUGAUCAAUGCUGUUAUGCUAGUGAGAAAAUCCACAACUAAAGACUAUUUGCUAUAUAUUAGCAUUACGGUUAGAAGUCUGGAAGCCUUUGGAGGCUGGCAAAUCUGAGUUCAGGUCUAGCUCUUCGAGUUUACUGGCUGUGUAACCUUAGGCAAUUUACUUAACCUCCGUGAGUCUCAGUUUCCUUAUCUGUCAAAUGAGGAUAAAAGAACUUAGAGUUGUUAUUGAGAUUAAACGGGAUGAUUCAUGUAAAAUGGCUUAGAAUAACGACUGGCAAAUCUUAAGCGCUUACCACAUGUUAAUUGUUAUCAAUGACUUUCUUUACCUUUCACACCAUUAAUAUCUGACCAACCUCUAGAAGUGAUGGGCCUAAAGAACUCUUGGAGCUAAAAUUCUUUGUCACCUGUAAUGCCAGCGCUUUGGGAGGCCAAGGCAGGCAGAUUGCUUAAGCCCAGGAGUUCUUGACCAGCCUGGGCAACAUGGCGAAACCCCGGCUCUACAAAAAAUUAGCCAAGCGUGGUGGUGUGUGCCUAUAGUCCCAGCUAUUUAGGAGGCUGAGGUGGGAGGAUCACCUGAGUCCAGGAGGUCGAGGCUGCAGUGAACUGUGAUCAUGCCACUGCAAUCCAGCCUGGAUGACAGAGCAAGACCCUGUCACUAAAUAAAUAAAUAAAUAAAUAAAAUAAAACUUUUGAUUUUGUUGUUUAUAUACUUAAGAAAGGAACCAGAACCCUCCCCAGUAGUCCUACACUUUCUGUGGCACAAAGCAGGAUGGAGACCCCCAGGAGAAGCUGAGUCUUUAUGUUACUGUUCUAAAGGAGAGCUGUAUACUGCUCUUGGCCCCUCUGAAAGCCAUUUUACUCUGUACUUUAUUCUUUCAGUCAUCUUCCUCAGAGCAUUUUCCCCUCAAUUUUGUUGUCAGUUCCAUAUCAUAUUUGCUUAGUCUGAGAAGUGUUUACUUUUAUAAUAGUGUCAGGCUUCAACACCUCAUGACUUCCAGAUGCUCAACUACCCACCUAAAUUGAGGUCAAAGUUGUAUUCCUUGUGGUUUUAUAAUAUCCCUAUCCAGCAUUCUUCCAUUAAGGUGGCUGACAAAAGUGGUCAUUUAUGAAUGCCUACUAUGUGCCAGGCACUCUGUGUGUUGUAUUUGCAAUCCUCAUACUUUGUAAGGGUCAGCAAAAUUAAGUAACCUACCCCAGGUCACACAGAUCAGAAGUUUAUAGAUAAGCUGAGAUUUUUUACUGUCUAGUCUGUAAAAUGACCUAGGCCAAACCAUGUUAAAAUAAAUGUCCUCGUAAUUUUAGAUGCUAUUCUGGUAAAUACCUUCUGUGAAAACCUCUACAUUACAAAAAUAGGGAAGCUAUAUAUUAUGAGGAAGUCUAUAAAAGGAAAUAAUUCAUCAGUCCCUUGGAAUUUUUGUUGCAUAAAUGCUGUUUUAUAAUUGACCUGUUUUCUAUACUAUGAUUGCUUUUUCUUUAUUGCCCAAUGUUUUCUUACAUCUAAAAUUAAUAACCAUCUUGUUUUUCUUUUUUCUUUUUUUUUUUUUUUUUUUUGAGACGGAGUCUUGCUCCAUCGCCUAGGCUGGAGUGCAUUGGUGCGAUCUCGGCUCACUGCAACCUCCGCCUUCUGGGUUCAAGCAAUUCUCCUGUCUCAGCCUCCCGAGUAGCUGGGACUACAGGUGCCUGCCAACACACCUGGCUAAUUUUUGUAUUUUUAGUAGAAACGGCGUUUCACCUUGUUGGUCAGCCUAGUCUCAAACUCCUGACCUCAGGUGAUCCACCCGCCUUGGCCUCCCAAAGUGCUGGGAUUACAGGCGUGAGCCACUGCGCCCGGCCAACCAUCUUCUUUUUCAUUUGCUUAGAUUUCCAUGUCUUUAAUUCAGUUUCAAAUUCCCGUCCCAGCUGUGUAAAACUCCUUGUUAGGUAUUUUAACAAUUUUACCUUCUUAAAGACACCUUUAAGAACCUUCUAGCCUGCUCCAUUCUGAGUUGGUUAUUCUGAAACUGAAUACACAGCUGUCAUCCUGUGAUCUUUCACCAUUGUUCAGAAGAUUCCCUUUGCCUCAAUCUUGUGUCUUCUUGUUUUAGUGGAGAACUUCCCCCAAUAGUUUUCUGAUAAAAAGGCUCACUGGUAAGUCUUUGGACACCAGUGUAUCCAGUCAAGGUCAACCAGAGGAAAAAUGGCAUUCUUAAGGGGGUGCUAGAGGAAAGCUUAAUAAAGGGACUGUUUACAAAGGUGUGAACAGUGUGAAGAGAUAGGACUAGCAACAGCAGGAAGCCUUAGGCUUGAAAGGGAUAGAGGAAGGAAUGUUUACUAGAAUCCAGAGAGAGAUGCAGCUUAUAGGAAAGUGUUGCCCACCAAGAUUUAUAGUCUUCAGUAAAGGAACACAGUAUCCAUCCCUUUCUUUCUGCCCCCUGGUCUCCCACCAGUGUUGCCCUUUGACCAAACCCAACCAGGAGCCAGAGGACAAGAGACCCAAGUGAAGCAAUCCAUGCAGGUCUACCUCCCUGAGCACAAAGUGGGAAUAGAGAAGGAUCUCAAGGGGCAAAC
rnacentral:lncRNA from 1 species